UGCUGAGGGAACCAUUUUCCUGGUGAUGACAGAAGUUUGGCAAGGUCCACAGUAGGAAAGUAUGCAGCUCAGCUUUAAGAUAUCCAAGGCCUCGGUCUCCUCUUGAAAGAAGAAAGACCAAGAUGAAAAUCACCUAAUGGAGGCAAACUGGUCAUUUCAUGACAUGCAACAUCAGUUCAAGUUUUGAGCCUACUGAGCAACUAUUUCUUGGGAUUCACUUCAAAGCAAACAGAGCAC
rnacentral:lncRNA from 1 species